CCGGCGCGCACUCCUGCCUCCUUCCCUUCCGCUGCUGAGGAGGCGGGAGCCGUGUCUGCACCGACCAAGCUGAGGUCUUGGGCAGGAGUCGGCUGGCGAAGUAGAAACUCCGGUAGCGGGGCGGCAGCGGGGGUCAAUCAGGCUGCGACGGUGUUGCCGGGGCUCCGCUGAGCCCGGCCGCUCCUGGCACCGGGAGCCUGCGGUGUGAGGUGGCCGGAGGAGGCAGCAAGUGAAGCUGUGAGAUUAAGGCUUCCAGGGCAAAACCUCGGGCACCUCCAUAAUCUCGGGCUCCAGCCGCCGUUACUAGCCCACCAUCAAGCCGACCCCAACUACUUGUGCAGCAUGCUUGGCCGCCUCAGGAUCGUCCAAGUGAGAGAAGUCCAAAGAGUUAUCACCCUGUCUUUGGAGUACAAUUCUGAAGUCCAUCAACAGUGCACCCUCAGGAUUUCAGGUUGAUGCUGUGAAGCCAUUUGGCUUGUUUGAAGAUUUCUUGGAUGUUGGUCUCCACUUGCCUGGCAUUGUUGCUCCAUGUACAACAAGUUGUGUUGACAACAGAACAGAUGCCUCCUUCUUCUGCCAUAAGGUAGUCUAAAGCUAAUCAG
rnacentral:lncRNA from 1 species